AUUGAACGCUGGCGGUAGGCCUAACACAUGCAAGUCGAACGGCAGCACGGAGGAGCUUGCUCCUUGGGUGGCGAGUGGCGGACGGGUGAGGAAUACAUCGGAAUCUACUCUGUCGUGGGGGAUAACGUAGGGAAACUUACGCUAAUACCGCAUACGACCUACGGGUGAAAGCAGGGGAUCUUCGGACCUUGCGCGAUUGAAUGAGCCGAUGUCGGAUUAGCUAGUUGGCGGGGUAAAGGCCCACCAAGGCGACGAUCCGUAGCUGGUCUGAGAGGAUGAUGAGCCACACUGGAACUGAGAGACGGUCCAGACUCCUACCGGAUGCAGCAGUGGGGAAUAUUGGACAAUGGGCGCAAGCCUGAUCCAGCCAUACCGCGUGGGUGAAGAAGGCCUUCGGGUUGUAAAGCCCUUUUGUUGGGAAAGAAAUCCAGCUGGUUAAUACCCGGUUGGGAUGACGGUACCCAAAGAAUAAGCACCGGCUAACUUCGUGCCAGCAGCCGCCGCGG
rnacentral:rRNA from 1 species